rnacentral:rRNA from 1 species
GAUGAGCGCUGGCGGCGUGCUUAACACAUGCAAGUCGAGCGAGUGAGUUCUUCGGAACGAUCUAGCGGCGGACGGGUGAGUAACACGUGGGCAACCUGCCUCAUAGAGGGGAAUGGCCUCCCGAAAGGGAGAUUAAUACCGCAUAACAUCGUUGAAGGGCAUCCUUCGAUGAUCGAAGGAGCAAUCCGCUAUGAGACGGGCCCGCGGCGCAUUAGCUAGUUGGUGAGGUAACGGCUCACCAAGGCGACGAUGCGUAGCCGACCUGAGAGGGGGAGCGGCCACAUUGGGACUGAGACACGGCCCAGACUCCUACGGGAGGCAGCAGUGGGGAAUAUUGCACAAUGGGGGAAACCCUGAUGCAGCAACGCCGCGUGAGUGAUGACGGCCUUCGGGUUGUAAAGCUCUGUCUUUGGGGACGAUAAUGACGGUACCCAAGGAGGAAGUCACGGCUAACUACGUGCCAGCCGCCGCGGUAA